GUGAAAGUUAACUGAAAAGGGCUUAAGUCUGAAAGAGAAACACUCAGCACAUAAAACCAGGAAUAUCCAGGUACCUAAACUGGAGAUACUGCUGCAGCUGUACGCCUGAUUCACAUCGUGCCAGCUCACUUUGUGCCAGAGCUAACGUGAGAGCCCUUUGCAAAUGGAGGGGAGUCAGCCAGAAGAGGGAAAAGGGGACACGUUCAAGGCGAUGUGGUACCAAACGUAGGGGGCUGGAGAACGGCUGAAAUCUAACAUCUGGUGUAACUGUACAAACCUGACCUUAGGUCACAGUACUGAUCCUUUUGGCCAGAGAAGCAAACAAAGGCAUAAGGAAGCACCAGCGAUCUACAGCUUGGGCUCUUUAAAAAGGUUUUCAAAUAAGCAGUUGAACCGGAGGCAUCCAAAGUCAGCAAUGAAAACACAGGCGUGGGUCAGCCUGGAACACGGAGAUCCACAGCGCCUUCUCCCGCAGCCACAAACCGAGGACAACAGGCGAAUCUUUGGGCACAGCCGCGCGGGUGGGAGCCAGCAGCAUCCGGGAUGGCAAAGGGCUGGAUGCGGGAGGCUCCGGACCCACCAAGUUGUGAACAGGCAUGCAUUGGCAGGACAGUUAACAAACCCCCUAUAUUCUUCCCACCCAUUCUGCACUUUUCAUGACCUCUUCCUUUCAUCGGUAAAAGUAAAUUGAAUUCAGCACCUUUAAAGACCCUGUCUGGAUCCAUAACAUUCAUAACCAUGCUGUAACCAUGAAUGAAAAGCUAAGCGAGAGUAUGGUUUGUAUCCAAGGGCUCUUUUGCAUUUUAUAUGUUUACAUAUACCAGCCAAUGGUCAGCAAAUAAGCGCCACAGCUUGUAAUGAAAUGUUCGAACCAUCUGUUUUAAUCUGCGAUUUAAUUUCACUGUAAAAUAUUAAAGUUGUUCCGAUGGUUGGGUUGGUAUGGCUGUUUUAUAUGAAAAGGAUUGAAUAUCCCAGAGCAAUUAUACUGUACCAAGCACAUGCUAUGGGUAUUAUAUUCUGUAUUGUUAUUUUGUUCCAUUAAAAACAUUAAACAGCCUUCUUAAUACAGCA